rnacentral:rRNA from 1 species
AUUGAACGCUGGCGGCAGGCCUAACACAUGCAAGUCGAGCGGAUGAAGGGAGCUUGCUCCUGGAUUCAGCGGCGGACGGGUGAGUAAUGCCUAGGAAUCUGCCUGGUAGUGGGGGAUAACGUCCGGAAACGGGCGCUAAUACCGCAUACGUCCUGAGGGAGAAAGUGGGGGAUCUUCGGACCUCACGCUAUCAGAUGAGCCUAGGUCGGAUUAGCUAGUUGGUGGGGUAAAGGCCUACCAAGGCGACGAUCCGUAACUGGUCUGAGAGGAUGAUCAGUCACACUGGAACUUAGACACGGCCCAGACUCCUACGGGAGGCAGCAGUGGGGAAUAUUGGACAAUGGGCGAAAGCCUGAUCCAGCCAUGCCGCGUGUGUGAAGAAGGUCUUCGGAUUGUAAAGCACUUUAAGUUGGGAGGAAGGGCAGUAAGUUAAUACCUUGCUGUUUUGACGUUACCAACAGAAUAAGCACCGGCUAACUUCGUG